UACGGAGGGUGCGAGCGUUAUUCGGAAUUACUGGGCGUAAAGCGCGUGUAGGCGGGGAAGCAAGUCUGAUGUGAAAGCCCCGGGCUUAACCUGGGAAGUGCAUUGGAAACUGUUUUUCUUGAGUACUGGAGAGGAAGGGAGAAUUUCCGGUGUAGAGGUGAAAUUCGUAGAGAUCGGGAGGAACACCAGUGGCGAAGGCGCCCUUCUGGACGGUUACUGACGCUGAGCCGCGAGAGCGUGGGGAGCAAACAGG
rnacentral:rRNA from 1 species